rnacentral:lncRNA from 1 species
AGAAGGAUAUCUUCACGAUCUAGCUAUUACAUUAUAAGAAAGGGAAGAAGGAAGCUCCAUAUUCAGAACGUGGAACCUCUGCCAGUGACCGUUUUGCCAGUGUAUCCUUUGAACAUCCAUCCCUGAAAGCCAUCAUGGUGAAGGCAACUGUGACUACUGUAAAAACCUCCAAGGAAGAUCUUCUCUCAUAUCUUAAGAAAAUCUUAGACCCUGCAUUAUCUCGAAUCUUUUAAAAUGGACUGUAGCUGAAAAGCAUAAAGGAUUUAUUCUCACUCUUCUGGCCUAUCAGUUUAGUUGGUAUUGGCAGAGAUUUCUUAGGAUUUUGAAUCAGACCAAAUUUAAACCAUCAGUGGGAUAUGUGCAAAGCUGGAAGACAUCAAUUUCUUUUUGUUAAGCGCUGAAUUCAUCACAUAGAAAACUCAGUAAUAUAAUGCUUAAGAGAAACUGAAUCCCAUCAGAUCUGGGUGAGAAUCUUUGUUCAGCCAUUAAUACCUACAUAAUCUUAGGCAGGUUGUUCCAAUCUUUCUAAGAUGCUUAGACUCUUUUAAUGGUCACAUUUAUAUUAUUAAAAGAUCGCUCCAGCAGCUGAGAAGAAUGGGCUGAAGGGGACUAGGAUGGCAGCCAAGAAAACACUGUUUUUUAGAAAAAUUUGUUUGUGACAAUUUUAGGUGUACAGAGGAGUUGCACAGAUAAAUAAUAAAAAGAAUUUCUAUGCAUCCUUCAAUCAGGCUCCCUUCAUGCUAACAUCUCACAUAGCGAUGGUGUAUGUCAAAACUAAGAAACUGACAUAGGUAUAUUUUUAAACUACAGACUUUAUUAAGAUUUUAGCAGUUUUUUUCAUGAGUGUCCCUUUUCUGUUCCAGGAUGUAACCCAGAAUAUCACACUGCAUUUUAAUAGUGCCACUUCUAUUAUUCUAUUAUUUUGUUUUUAUUUUUAAUUUUUUUUUCCAAAUUCCAACCUAAAGAUACUGAUGACCUGACCUAGCUAGUAGUGUUGAAGAUAGAGGGGAGCAGAUGUGAAACAUAUGCUGAAGCCAGGAACAAUGGGCAAGAGAUUAUGGAAUGGGUGUGAGUCAUGAAAAAAAGGAAAGAAUCAAGAAUGAUUUGUGGGUUUUGGCUUCAAGAAAUGAGCGGAUGGUGGGGACUUUAUUGAAACAGGGUAACUAGAAGGUGGGAUGGGAAUAUGUUUAGAAGGAAAAUCAUGUUUCAUUUCAGACUUGUUAAGAUAUAAGUAUUAGCAAUAAUGUAUGUAAAAUAUUUAGAUCAAAGGCUGCCACAUAGUAAGUAUUCAACAACUAACUGAUGAUGUCAGAAGUCCUAUAAGCAACAUGAUUUCCUAAGUUCAGUCCAUUCCUGACUGUAGUUCUCUUCAGGGUAGUAAGAACAGAUAUCACAGUGAGACUGAUGAAUUUAGCAAAAGGAGUCACUUUUGUUUUAACAAAUAUUUAGUAGAUGCCUAUGCUGGAAAAAGUCCAGGAUGUUGUAAAAGUUCAAUUAUGAUGUGCCUUACCUCUAUCCAUCUUAAAACACUCUUUCAAGUCAAAGAGAGAGAAACUAACACGCUAAAAGUAAGAGAUUUACCUUACCUUCCUAUGCAGGAUGGUAAAAUAGUUUAGAUCCUACCAUUAGUUUUAUCUAGAGCAGAAGUUAAUUCUAGUUGAGCCAAAAAAGUGAAGCAUCUGCAGGGUGAGAAAGGACAGCAGUCUCACCUUGGUGCUGUGUAAUACUUCCUUUGUGCUGUACAUAGCCAGAUGACCCAGACUUUGUCAGUUACCUGAUUUUACAAGAGUCAACAUGUGUCUAGCCUCAUGUCAAUGAUAAGCCCCUCUGAUCCUUAAGCCACUCUGAUGAAUUUCAUACUUCGUAUUUAAUCUUGUGGUGGGUUCCUUCUACAGGUGCCUCGAACAUUAGUGAGGGACAAAAGGGCAGACUGAAUGUGCUGAUGGAUGUGAAAACAGGAAAUGAGCUGUAUAUAUACUAAAAAUUUGGAGCUAUUCUACUAUUCAUUAGAUGGGAAGUGGGUGUGUCUAAGUUAGUAGAAGGAACUCCAAAAAAUGAUCAGAUUUCUUCAUAUCUGUUAACAAUCUUUCGUAUCUCUCUUUACAUUUUUCCAGAGCUUGCAUUAGUGGGCAUUAUACACGUUACCUAGUCUUACUGUACUGUGUUGACAUAGGUCCUGAGACUCAGAUUCUUCGGUGUGAGCCAUACAGAAAAUACUGACGCUGGCUGACUUCAUUUAUUUGUUUAUGGUUUUAUAUUUAUGCUCUUCUAUGGGGCCCUGUGUAUAUCUUUUGUUUAUUAUAUAUGUUUAUAUUUUAUUCUCUGGAUGCAUGUGCCUUCUAAGCAGUAGAAAACAGUAAGUGAGCUUUAAAGCAUUCACAAACGAGAGAAUGUUAUUAAGAAAAUUAAUGUUUUCACUCAGAACUAGCAUGGUAGAGUCCAGGCCAUGGUUACCAUUAGUGGAUUUUGUCCUUUAACUGCAGCCCUUGGGGACAGAUACACACCCAUGAAGACUGAUCUCACAUAGGUAUAUGAAGGAUGAGAAUGUGGAUGUUCAGAAAUCUUCCCGCUUCCUCCUUACCACAGGGUUAUCAAUAUUUCUGGUAUUAUUUGAAGUAACUGUAUCAAUUCUCUGCUUGCUUUUCCUAUGCAGACACAGCCACCACAGUGCUGAGUGGAGAAUCUGUUUUCAUAACUCAAAUAUUGUUAGAAUAGAAAUAGGAGAAGAGCUUUCAAUAAUGUAUGUACCAUUUAAAAAUAUCUUUGGAUGUUCUCUGUAUAAGCUUCUACAGGCUUCUUCUUUAAAGUAAAAGAUAUAAUUUUUAAGGCUUAUUUUUGAAUGGCUCUAACAUCGCUGUCUGUAAUACUACUGCUUGAUUUCUCCCAGUUAUACUAGUCCUGUUCCUGUACCAGUAAUCUCCCCACACCUGAUUUUUUAUCUUUUGUUUUGAGUGAAAAAUCUAAUUCUAUCACUGUAAAUUUUAAACCUGCCAUAAUACAGGCAAUAAAGGGGCAGCAAUUUCAUGAAUAAGACGAUGUAACAUGAUGCCUCUUAAAUGAUGUUUAAAAUGUGACUUUUAGGUGUGUUCUAGGAAUGAUGCAAAAGUUCCCUAACAAAAAGCUGGUGAAGUACUGACAAGAAUUUUUGGUACUGCAUUUCGCAUAGAGUUAUUGAACAUCCACUGCUUGAAGCCAAGCCACUGUGAAUACAAAACUAUAUGAACUCAAGGAAAUAAGAAACUAGUUUUGGGAGAUGUGACUUACACAUGCAAGGUUAUUUUAAGGUAUUAAAAACUAUUGGUAUAGACAGAACACACAAUAACAAUUAGGUUAAAUUACUGUUUGAUAGAUAGUCACAUGUGGUAUCCAAUCUGAUGUCCUUGACACCUACGUCAGCCCAAAGCAAGAACGUCUUGGAAUGCUGAAGAGUACAGCUUUAGCUCCCUGUUCACAGUUCAUUUCAGUUUUAGUCUGUAUUAGCUUAAAUCAACUAUUAAGUUUGUAGAACAGCAAAGUCUGGAAAUUAUUUGAAGGAAAGGAUUAACCACAAUUCUACACUUAAAAGUCCUUAGCUGCUGAAUCACUUAAUGGCAUAGUUCUAAUUAUUCAAACUAUUGCAAUUUUUAAAAAAGCAUUCUUGAUUUAGAAAAACGCUGACUUGUUCAAACAACUGCAUCUGAAAUCAUUACACACUUCUUUUGCAAGAAAAAAAAAA